UAAGGAAUAUUGGUCAAUGGACGCAAGUCUGAACCAGCCAUGCCGCGUGAAGGAUGAAGGUCCUCUGGAUUGUAAACUUCUUUUAUCUGGGACGAAAACGGGAUUUUUAUCUCAAUUGACGGUACCAGAGGAAUAAGCACCGGCUAACUCCGUGCCAGCAGCCGCGGUAAUACGGAGGGUGCGAGCGUUAUCCGGAUUUACUGGGUUUAAAGGGUGCGUAGGUGGGCUUAUAAGUCAGUGGUGAAAUCUCCGAGCUUAACUUGGAAACUGCCGUUGCUACUAUAGGUCUUGAAUUAUCUGGAGGUAAGCGGAAUAUGUCAUGUAGCGGUGAAAUGCUUAGAUAUGACAUAGAACACCAAUUGCGAAGGCAGCUUACUACAUAUAAAUUGACGCUGAGGCACGAAAGCGUGGGGAUCAAACA
rnacentral:rRNA from 1 species